rnacentral:rRNA from 1 species
GACGAACGCUGGCGGCGUGCUUAACACAUGCAAGUCGAACGGUAAGGCCCUUCGGGGUCCACGAGUGGCGAACGGGUGAGUAACACGUGGGUAAUCUGCCCUGCACUUCGGGAUAAGCCUGGGAAACUGGGUCUAAUACCGGAUAUUCAGUUCCUGCCGCACGGUGGGGGGUGGAAAGUUUUUCGGUGCAGGAUGAGCCCGCGGCCUAUCAGCUUGUUGGUGGGGUAAUGGCCUACCAAGGCGACGACGGGUAGCCGGCCUGAGAGGGUGAUCGGCCACACUGGGACUGAGACACGGCCCAGACUCCUACGGGAGGCAGCAGUGGGGAAUAUUGCACAAUGGGCGAAAGCCUGAUGCAGCGACGCCGCGUGAGGGAUGACGGUCUUCGGAUUGUAAACCCCUUUCAGUAGGGACGAAGCGUAAGUGACGGUACCUGCAGAAGAAGCACCGGCCAACUACGUG